AUAAACACAUUGAAUAGACGAAGUACUGUUGCUUUUAUUUUAGAGAGAUCACGGGUGGUGCAAGUGAUCAUAAAAGGAUGGGAAAUGCACCUAUGAGUGGCUUUGGCGCAAGUCAAAGACGGCCUAGCGGACGUUACCCGCUUUGAGGCAGGCUAUUGUCUGCAAACAAAAGUGGGACCACGCAGGAAAGCGUCUUUUGG
rnacentral:ncRNA from 1 species